rnacentral:misc_RNA from 1 species
GAUGAAGAACGCAGCGAAAUGCGAUAAGUAAUGUGAAUUGCAGAAUUCAGUGAAUCAUCGAAUCUUUGAACGCACCUUGCACCCUUUGGCAUUCCGAAGGGUAUGCUCGUUUGAGUGUCAUUGUACUCUCACACUCUCCGAUCCUAUGGAUUCGGGGAGCGGUGGACUUGGGUGUUGCUGCCUUUCCCUGUGGCUCACCUCAAAUGCGUCAGUGCACCUCUUGGUUGGACAUAGUACGGCGUGAUAAGUGUCUUCGCCGGCACCUCGCAAGAGGGUGCCGAUCGGGAGCUCUGCGCUUUCAAACCGUCUUCGGACAAUUUCUGACAUCUUGACCUCAAAUCGAGUAGGACUACCCGCUGAACUUAAGCAUAUCAAUAAGCGGAGGA